CAAUAGCGUAUAUUAAAGUUGUUGCAGUUAAAAAGCUCGUAGUUGGAUUUCUGGUGGGAGCGAUCGGUCUGGCGCUUAGCGCGAGUACUUGCAUCGUCUCCGGCCAUCCUUGGGGAGAGUCUGUCUGGCAUUAAGUUGUCGGGCAGAGGAUCCUCAUCGUUUACUGUGAAAAAAUUAGAGUGUUCAAUGCAGGCUUAUGCCGUUGAAUAUAUUAGCAUGGAAUAAUAAGAUAGGACUUUGGUACUAUUUUGUUGGUUUGCGCACCAAAGUAAUGAUUAAUAGGGACAGUUGGGGGUAUUCGUAUUCCGUUGUCAGAGGUGAAAUUCUUGGAUUUACGGAAGACGAACUACUGCGAAAGCAUUUACCAAGGAUGUUUUCAUUAA
rnacentral:rRNA from 1 species